GACGAACGCUGGCGGCGUGCUUAACACAUACAAGUCGAACGGAAAGGCCCUGCUUUUGUGGGGUGCUCGAGUGGCGAAGGGGGGAGUAACACGUGAGUAACAUGCCCCUGACUUUGGGAUAACUUCAGGAAACUGGGGCUAAUACCGGAUAGGAGCUCCUGCUGCAUGGUGGGGGUUGGAAAGUUUCGGCGGUUGGGGCUGGACUCGCGGCUUAUCAGCUGGUUGGUGGGGUAGGGGCUGACCAAGGCUUUGACGGGUAGCCGGCAUGGGAGGGGAGACGGCCACAAGAGGACUGAGAGACGGACCAGACGGCAACGGGAGGCAGUGGUGGGGAAUAUGACGGAGUAAGGGGGAGCGUGAUACGACGACGCCGGGUGCGGAAUGCCGGGCUUCGGGUUGUAAACCGAUUUCGCCUGUGACAAGGCGUGAGUGACGGUAAUGGAUAAAGAAGCACCGGCUAACUACGUG
rnacentral:rRNA from 1 species